rnacentral:rRNA from 1 species
GACGAACGCUGGCGGCGUGCUUAACACAUGCAAGUCGAACGGAAAGGCCCUGCUUUUGUGGGGUGCUCGAGUGGCGAACGGGUGAGUAACACGUGAGUAACCUGCCCUUGACUUUGGGAUAACUUCAGGAAACUGGGGCUAAUACCGGAUAGGAGCUCCUGCUGCAUGGUGGGGGUUGGAAAGUUUCGGCGGUUGGGGAUGGACUCGCGGCUUAUCAGCUUGUUGGUGGGGUAGUGGCUUACCAAGGCUUUGACGGGUAGCCGGCCUGAGAGGGUGACCGGCCACAUUGGGACUGAGAUACGGCCCAGACUCCUACGGGAGGCAGCAGUGGGGAAUAUUGCACAAUGGGCGGAAGCCUGAUGCAGCAACGCCGCGUGCGGGAUGACGGCCUUCGGGUUGUAAACCGCUUUCGCCUGUGACGAAGCGUGAGUGACGGUAAUGGGUAAAGAAGCACCGGCUAACUACGUGCCAGCAGCCGCGGUGAUACGUAGGGUGCGAGCGUUGUCCGGAUUUAUUGGGCGAAAAGGGCUCGUAGGUGGUUGAUCGCGUCGGAAGUGUAAUCUUGGGGCUUAACCCUGAGCGUGCUUUCGAUACGGGUUGACUUGAGGAAGGUAGGGGAGAAUGGAAUUCCUGGUGGAGCGGUGGAAUGCGCAGAUAUCAGGAGGAACACCAGUGGCGAAGGCGGUUCUCUGGGCCUUUCCUGACGCUGAGGAGCGAAAGCGUGGGGAGCGAACAGGCUUAGAUACCCUGGUAGUCCACGCUGUAAACGGUGGGUACUAGGUGUGGGGUCCAUUCCACGGGUUCCGUGCCGUAGCUAACGCUUUAAGUACCCCGCCUGGGGAGUACGGCCGCAAGGCUAAAACUCAAAGGAAUUGACGGGGCCCCGCACAAGCGGCGGAGCAUGCGGAUUAAUUCGAUGCAACGCGUAGAACCUUACCUGGGUUUGACAUGGAUCGGGAGUGCUCAGAGAUGGGUGUGCCUCUUUUGGGGUCGGUUCACAGGUGGUGCAUGCCUGUCGUCAGCUCGUGUCGUGAGAUGUUGGGUUAAGUCCCGCAACGAGCGCAACCCUUGUUCACUGUUGCCAGCACGUUAUGGUGGGGACUCAGUGGAGACCGCCGGGGUCAACUCGGAGGAAGGUGGGGAUGACGUCAAGUCCUCAUGCCCCUUAUGUCCAGGGCUUCACGCAUGCUACAAUGGCUGGUACAGAGAGUGGCGAGCCUGUGAGGGUGAGCGAAUCUCGGAAAGCCGGUCUCAGUUCGGAUUGGGGUCUGCAACUCGACCUCAUGAAGUCGGAGUCGCUAGUAAUCGCAGAUCAGCAACGCUGCGGUGAAUACGUUCCCGGGGCU